rnacentral:SRP_RNA from 1 species
GCCAGGCGCUGUGGCGGGCACCUGUACUCCCAGCUACUUGGGAGGCUGAGGCAGGAGAUUCGCUUGAGCCCAGGAGUUGGAGGUUGCUGUGAGCUGUGACUCUACGGCACUCUACCCAGGGCAACAUAGUGAGAUUCUGUCUCAA